rnacentral:snRNA from 1 species
AUGCUCACUUUGGCAGCAUAUAUACUAAAAUUGGAAUGAUACAGAGGAGAUUAGCAUGGCCCCUGUGCAGGGAUGACACACAAAUUCGUGAAGCAUUCCAUAUUUUU